AUCCCUCUCUCUAGACACAGGAUAGGCCAUUAGUUGCUGAUCAACGGGGUCCCUAAUCUGGCACCCCCACUGAUGAACUGUUCAGUGCCCCACAUUGUAUAGUGAAUAGGAAAGGCCAUCAUAUGCUGAUAGGUGGGGUGCUAACUUACGGCACCCCGACUGAUGAGAUGUUUGGUGCCCUGAAUUAUAAAGUGAGCUGCUGGACUGUUUAUUGUAUAGUUGUAGCGCUGGGUAUUGUGGUUUGGAGUCCCAGAAAACCCCUCCGAGGUCACAUUACAUGGGCCAGUUAUGAUUAUUGGCCAACUCAAUGUUCAUAUGAAUGGAUGAAUGAAUAACUGACCCAUGUAAAGGGCCAAAGAUCAACAAACAAACAAGAAAAGGCUCAUUUGGAUAUUUCCUGCAGAAUUGUCAUUAUCAGUCGCACAUCACCCUGUGUAAACUUAAGAUGUACAGACCAUGAUGAAAUUGAAGGGCCACGUGAACGAUCCACAGAUUGUUGUGUGUCCUGGCCUGGAUUUACUAACUAAAUGGUCACUCUUUAUAGGGACCCGCUUGGCCUUUGUUAAAGAGUCCUUAGCAGCAUACAAAAUAAGUGUCGUCUCAGGUUUUCCCAGGUUGCAGUGCAGCUGAGACAUUACAUCUAUAGUCACGUGUUCAGAGGGAGCAUGUCUUUGCUUCAAUUGGUGGAGAGAACAUUGGGUGGGAGAUCAUUCUACAAGAAUUUGCAACACCUGGAGGCACCCUGGUUGGAAAACACUGGUCUAUUGGAUUGAGGACAGCACAGAAAGCGCACAAAUGGGAUCCCUGGAAGCCCCAUCCUCAAUGUGUCAAAAUCUAAACACUGUGGAAGCUUGGACAGCAAAUCAUCCGUCUAGAUGUAAAUGUAGCUGAGCUGUAAUAUCAGACACUGAACAAGGAUGAUUUGGGUGCUAAGUCUGGUAAAGCCUGAAGAGGCCCUUUGUUCUCACCUACUGAUCAUAUCACCUGUUA